AUGACACAUGCAAGUCGGAUCGCUCCAACAAUGGAUUAGUGGCAUUUCCGGUGAGUAAGGCGUGGGAACCUUCCCUAUGGUUCGGAAUAGCUCAGGGAAACUUGGGGUAAUACCGGAUAAGCCCUUCGGGGGAAAGAUUUAUCGCCAUUGGAUGGGCCCGCGUCGGAUUAGCUAGUUGGUGGGGUAACGGCCUACCAAGGCAACGAUCCGUAGCUGGUCUGAGAGGAUGAUCAGCCACACUGGGACUGAGACACGGCCCAUACUCCUACGGGAGGCAGCAGUGGGGAAUAUUGGACAAUGGGCGCAAGCCUGAUCCAGCCAUGCCGCGUGAGUGACGAAGGUCUUCGGAUUGUAAAACUCUUUUGGCGGGGACGAUAAUGACGGUACCCGCAAAAUAAGCCCCGGCUAACUUCGUGCCACAAGGGGGGGUAAUACCAAGGGGGCUUAACGUUUGUUCCGAAUCACCUGGGCCGUAAAGCGCCACGUAGGCCCGAUGUGCCCAGUCAAGGGGUGAAAUCCCCGGAGCUCCACCUCC
rnacentral:rRNA from 1 species